rnacentral:rRNA from 1 species
AGACCCGAAACCCGGUGAUCUAGCCAUGGGCAGGUUGAAGGUUGGGUAACACUAACUGGAGGACCGAACCGACUAAUGUUGAAAAAUUAGCGGAUGACCUGUGGCUGGGGGUGAAAGGCCAAUCAAACCGGGAGAUAGCUGGUUCUCCCCGAAAGCUAUUUAGGUAGCGCCUCGUGAAUUCAUCUCCGGGGGUAGAGCACUGUUUCGGCUAGGGGGCCAUCCCGGCUUACCAACCCGAUGCAAACUGCGAAUACCGGAGAAUGUUAUCACGGGAGACACACGGCGGGUGCUAACGUCCGUCGUGAAGAGGGAAACAACCCAGACCGCCAGCUAAGGUCCCAAAGUCAUGGUUAAGUGGGAAACGAUGUGGGAAGGCCCAGACAGCCAGGAUGUUGGCUUAGAAGCAGCCAUCAUUUAAAGAAAGCGUAAUAGCUCACUGGUCGAGUCGGCCUGCGCGGAAGAUGUAACGGGGCUAAACCAUGCACCGAAGCUGCGGCAGCGAACGUAUCACUUAAAGCGAUUCAGCGGGUUACGAUUGACGGAGCGAAGCGACGUCAAAGCGUAUACAAAGUCGAGUCGGUUUAAGGAUACGUUCGUUGGGUAGGGGAGCGUUCUGUAAGCCUGUGAAGGUGGCCUGUGAGGGUUGCUGGAGGUAUCAGAAGUGCGAAUGCUGACAUAAGUAACGAUAAAGCGGGUGAAAAGCCCGCUCGCCGGAAGACCAAGGGUUCCUGUCCAACGUUAAUCGGGGCAGGGUGAGUCGACCCCUAAGGCGAGGCCGAAAGGCGUAGUCGAUGGGAAACGGGUUAAUAUUCCCGUACUUGGUGUUACUGCGAAGGGGGGACGGAGAAGGCUA